rnacentral:rRNA from 1 species
GACGAACGCUGGCGGCGUGCCUAACACAUGCAAGUCGAACGGAGUGUUUAUUUAUAAACACUUAGUGGCGAACGGGUGAGUAACGCGUAGACAACCUACGCUCUAGAUGGGGACAACACCGCGAAAGUGGUGCUAAUACCGAAUGUUGCAAUGUUAUUGCAUAAUGAUAUUACUAAAGGUGGCCUCUAUAUAAAAGCUACCGCUAGAAGAUGGGUCUGCGUCUGAUUAGCUGGUUGGGGAGAUAACAGCUCACCAAGGCAAUGAUCGGUAGCCGGCCUGAGAGGAUGAACGGCCGCACUGGGACUGAGACACGGCGCAGACUCCUACGGGGGGCAGCAGUGGGGAAUCUUGCGCAAUGGACGACAGUCUGACGGAGCAACGCCGCGUGAGUGAAGAAGGUUUUCGGAUCGUAAAGCUCUGUCUUCAAGGACGAAUGUAGAUAUUGUGAAUAAUGAUAUUUAAUGACGGUACUUGCGGAGGACGCCACGGCUAACUACGUGCCAGCAGCCGCAGUAA